GUCAGAACUAGUUUUUAGUUACGAUGAUAACCUUCCACCGUGAUUUUAACCAAAUGCCAAGCUGCCAGAGAACUAGGAAGAGAAGGAGUGAUUGAUAGAACUUUUAUCAGUCAAUUCGUGUGCUUGUUGCAGUACGAUGGUGACUUCAAUACAAGCAAGAUUUCUACACCAGGUACUCAAUCAACUCGCAUGUUCGGCGUCUUUCAGAUCAGAAGAUGACAUGAUUUGUGCCCAAACCAUUUUCAAAACAGAAGGAUUGAAAUAUUAGAAGAACUGGCAAAAUAUGUGUAAAAACAAGCAGUACAAUAUAUCAAAAUGCAAAUUUACGAUUAAUUCUGGCGAGAAGGAAGAUUAUGGAAAAGUUGAGGAAGACGACUUCGAUGUGAUCCAAGAAGAUAAUAUCGACGCGUUUGAUCAAAUGGUAAUAAAGUUUAGAAAGGCAAAUAUCAAAAUAUGAUUUUUUACAAAAUAAACACUAUUUUCUUUGUUAUUAAUUUUGAACAUAUACAUUUUAUCUGUGAAU